rnacentral:rRNA from 1 species
AGUGAACGCUGGCGGUAGGCCUAACACAUGCAAGUCGAACGGCAGCACAGUAAGAGCUUGCUCUUACGGGUGGCGAGUGGCGGACGGGUGAGGAAUACAUCGGAAUCUACUUUUUCGUGGGGGAUAACGUAGGGAAACUUACGCUAAUACCGCAUACGACCUACGGGUGAAAGCAGGGGAUCUUCGGACCUUGCGCGAUUGAAUGAGCCGAUGUCGGAUUAGCUAGUUGGCGGGGUAAAGGCCCACCAAGGCGACGAUCCGUAGCUGGUCUGAGAGGAUGAUCGGCCACACUGGAGCUGAGCCACGGUCCAGGCUCCUGCGGGAGGCAGCAGUCGGGAAUAUUGGGCAAUAGGCGCAAGCCUGGUCCAGCCAUACCGCGUGGGUGGAGAAGGCCUUCGGGUUGUAAAGCCCUUUUGUUGGGAAAGAAAAGCAGCAGGUUAAUACCCCGCUGUUCUGACGGUACCCAAAGAAUAAGCACCGGCUAACUUCGUG